UCUAUCUAUGAUUCAUCAGCUGUCGUCAGUUUUUAGAGAAAAACAAAACGUAGUUGUGUGAAAUUAGUGCAAAUUUUUGGUGAUUAUAGUUGGAUAAAGCACUCGACAUGUCGGUUAAUACGGCCCACGCCAACAAUGGCGUGCUCAUCCAUGCGGGAGAGUACAUACUGCUCCACAGCGACAGCGUUUCGAUGGAGUUUUCUGGUCAAGAUAAUCCCAUUUUCAAGGGCUCGAAAGGGGGCAGGAUUUAUCUCACCUCCCAUCGGAUGAUCUUCAACAGCAAGAAGUCCUCGGAUGCGAUGCAGUCCUUCAGUGCUCCAUUUGUUGCCCUCUCAGAUGUGGAGAUUGAACAGCCGGUGUUUGGGGCUAACUACAUCAAGGGAAAGGUCCGCGCUCAGCCAAAUGGGAACUACGUCGGCGAAGUCAAGUUCAAGCUUCAUUUCAAGGCCGGUGGUGCCAUCGAAUAUGGCCAGGCCCUAUUGCGCUCCGCCAAGACGGCAAUGAACAACUAUCAUCGCGGAGGACUGGUCGGUGAUGAUCCUCCACCAUACCAGCCGGCUGGCGCUUGGAACGAGGCUCCACCACCAGCCUAUCAGCCGCCACCUGGUUACUACGGCUGGUUGCCGCAGCACGAUGCCUUCAGUGGCCCUGCACCGAAUACGGUGUUUAUGAGCGACAAUCCGCCGCCAUAUCCCGGGAUCGCACCACCGGCACAACAGCCACCAGCACCACAACAGCCGCAGGGACCGUCAUCGAAUGAACCCAAUUGGUACGGUUUUUCAGCACCUCCACCGCAGCAGCAACAACAGCAGCCAGGUUAUGGGCCCCAAGGAUGGGCUGGUGGCUAUGUUCAGCCCCCGCCGUACGCAUCCUGUGCUCCUAACUGUCCACCUGGACCGCCUUACGCCGCCCCGGCUCAAACGUACACUGGACCACAGCCUUAUGGAGGUUACGGAAAUGUUCCCGGUGGAUUUAACACUCCGGGACUUCAACAGCCAGCUGGGUAUCCUAAUGGCUAUCCAGGUGGACCACCGCCUCCGGCUCAACAAGCAGCAGGAGCAGCCGGAGGAGCUGCUGCAUCUGGAGCUAACUUUAUGGGUUUCAGCUUGCCACCAGGAAUGUAAUAAAAAGCAAACUACUGUACCUCAAAUAGCCAUCCCGACAAUAGCAAGAUUUGGCAGCACUCAUCAUUAUUUCUAUCCAAUCCAAAGACCCAUGUGUGUUGUGCUGCUCCCAGCUCUGAUACCAUAAACACAAAUUAUUCCAAAGAGGCAGAGGCUGCAGCAAGUGCUUAUAACACACCCUAUAACCAAGGAGGACCCAGUGGAUCAGGAAACAGUGAUUUACCGCCUUCAUAUAUGAACUUGCCACCCAGCU